rnacentral:lncRNA from 1 species
CUCCAAAAGUUUUCACUGUCCUUGCAGCUGUUGUUUUGCUCCAUUUCAUUUUUUCAAAGAACCUUUCAACCUGCAGAUACGACACAGUUAGGUUCAGGAAGAAGCGACACCUCACUUACGAAGAACGUCUCUGCUUUUCCAUUACCAAAUAUUAUAUUAUCUUCAGAGCUGCAGGAGAAAAUCUGCUUGGAUGAAUAUACAUCAGAGCAUGUGAUUAAUGAAAAGCCAAGGACAAAUGAAAAGAAAACAACACCUGGGAACAGAGGAAUCAGUGAUGGCAUGCUGACCUCUCCCAUUCCCUUUGAAGCACUUAUGAUCAUAUCCAAGAGCUGCAUUCCAGCUGUGGCGCCUUCUGAGGUACUGAAUAUAUUAAGAUAAAAAGAAAUAAGCUGAGCUAUAUUAAUAAGAAGCUUAAAUGUUUAUGCAGGCAUAAGCUUUGAGAAAUUAGAUACCCC